UGUUGCAUGGCUGUCGUCAGCUCGUGUCGUGAGAUGUUGGGUUAAGUCCCGCAACGAGCGCAACCCUCAUCCUUAGUUGCCACCAGGUAAUGCUGAGUACUUUAAGGAAACUGCUAGUGAUAAGCUGGAGGAAGGUGGGGAUGAUGUCAAGUCAUCAUGGCCUUUAUGGAGUGGGCUACACACGUGCUACAAUGGUGUCUACAGUGGGUUGCAAGGUGCGCAAGCCUAAGCUAAUCCCUAAAAGACAUCUCAGUUCGGAUUGUACUCUGCAACUCGAGUACAUGAAGUUGGAAUCGCUAGUAAUCGUGGAUCAGCAUGCCACGGUGAAUACGUUCUCGGGUC
rnacentral:rRNA from 1 species